rnacentral:rRNA from 1 species
UGUGUAGGCGGUUUGGUAAGUCUGGUGUGAAAUCUCCCGGCUCAACUGGGAGGGUGCGCCGGAAACUGCUGGACUAGAGUACGGGAGAGGAAAGUGGAAUUCCUGGUGUAGCGGUGAAAUGCGUAGAUAUCAGGAGGAACACCGGUGGUGUAGACGGCUUUCUGGACCGUAACUGACGCUGAGACACGAAAGCGUGGGUAGCAAACAGGAUUAGAUACCCUGGUAGUCCACGCCCUAAACGAUGCAUAUUUGGUGUGGGCAGUUCAUUCUGUCCGUGCCGGAGCUAACGCGUUAAAUAUGCCGCCUGGGGAGUACAGUCGCAAGGCUGAA